rnacentral:rRNA from 1 species
AGUCGAGCGGCAGCGCGGGGGCAACCCUGGCGGCGAGCGGCGAACGGGUGAGUAAUGCAUCGGAACGUAUCCUGUAGUGGGGAAUAACUCACCGAAAGGUGAGCUAAUACCGCAUGAGCUCUGAGGAGGAAAGCGGGGGACCGAAAGGCCUCGCGCUGCAGGAGCGGCCGAUGUCCGAUUAGCUAGUUGGUGAGGUAAAGGCUCACCAAGGCGACGAUCGGUAGCUGGUCUGAGAGGAUGAUCAGCCACACUGGGACUGAGACACGGCCCAGACUCCUACGGGAGGCAGCAGUGGGGAAUUUUGGACAAUGGGGGAAACCCUGAUCCAGCCAUGCCGCGUGAGUGAAGAAGGCCUUCGGGUUGUAAAGCUCUUUCGGACGGAACGAAAUUGCUUGGACUAAUACUCUGAGUAGAUGACGGUACCGUAAGAAGAAGCACCGGCUAACUACGUGCCAGCAGCCGCGGUAAUACGUAGGGUGCGAGCGUUAAUCGGAAUUACUGGGCGUAAAGCGUGCGCAGGCGGUUGCCUAAGCCAGGCGUGAAAUCCCCGGGCUUAACCUGGGAAUGGCGCUUGGGACUGGGCAGCUAGAGUGCGGCAGAGGGAGGUGGAAUUCCACGUGUAGCAGUGAAAUGCGUAGAUAUGUGGAGGAACACCAAUGGCGAAGGCAGCCUCCUGG